UCAGGUUAUAGCUUAAAAAGUAUUUUAUUUACAUUAAAAAGAUAAUUGAAAAAUUCAAUUUAACUUG
rnacentral:tRNA from 1 species